UCCCUGGUGGCUCAGACGGUAAAGUGUCUGUCUGCAAUGCAGGAGACCCGGGUUCAAUCCCUGGGUUGGGAA
rnacentral:tRNA from 1 species